CUGGCGACUCUGUUGACAGCAUAUUAUGUGUUCAAUCUUCAUUACCAGGAGGAGGCAGCGUGUACAUUGGAGUUUAUUCAGAGGUGCUUUGUAGGUAUUAAUCCAAGAGGAACAAAGACGUGCAAAGGAAAGGUGCCAUCUAAAAAAACAGGGCAAAUGGUACAAAAGAAGCAGGUUGAAGUGAAUCCACAUGUUGCUACUCUUCUUUCCAAAUUGAUGGAUUUUCAGCGGACGUUCUAAAUUAACUCUUUGCAUCCUGUGAUGGAGCAGCACCUAAAGCUGAUUUGUUCUGCUAUCCUCCCCGAUGUUCGUUGGACUCACUUGGGGCC